rnacentral:rRNA from 1 species
AAAUCGUACCCCAAACCGACACAGGUGGUCAGGUAGAGAAUACCAAGGCGCUUGAGAGAACUCGGGUGAAGGAACUAGGCAAAAUGGUGCCGUAACUUCGGGAGAAGGCACGCUGAUAUGUAGGUGAAGCCCCUGCGGGUGGAGCUGAAAUCAGUCGAAGAUACCAGCUGGCUGCAACUGUUUAUUAAAAACACAGCACUGUGCAAACACGAAAGUGGACGUAUACGGUGUGACGCCUGCCCGGUGCCGGAAGGUUAAUUGAUGGGGUUAGCGGCAACGCGAAGCUCUUGAUCGAAGCCCCGGUAAACGGCGGCCGUAACUAUAACGGUCCUAAGGUAGCGAAAUUCCUUGUCGGGUAAGUUCCGACCUGCACGAAUGGCGUAAUGAUGGCCAGGCUGUCUCCACCCGAGACUCAGUGAAAUUGAACUCGCUGUGAAGAUGCAGUGUACCCGCGGCAAGACGGAAAGACCCCGUGAACCUUUACUAUAGCUUGACACUGAACACUGGUCCUUGAUGUGUAGGAUAGGUGGGAGGCUUUGAAGCGUGGACGCCAGUCUGCGUGGAGCCGUCCUUGAAAUACCACCCUUUAAUGGCUGGUGUUCUAACGUAGACCCGUGAUCCGGGUUGCGGACAGUGUCUGGUGGGUAGUUUGACUGGGGCGGUCUCCUCCCAAAGAGUAACGGAGGAGCACGAAGGUUAGCUAAUCCUGGUCGGACAUCAGGAGGUUAGUGCAAUGGCAUAAGCUAGCUUGACUGCGAGAGUGACGGCUCGAGCAGGUGCGAAAGCAGGUCAUAGUGAUCCGGUGGUUCUGAAUGGAAGGGCCAUCGCUCAACGGAUAAAAGGUACUCCGGGGAUAACAGGCUGAUACCGCCCAAGAGUUCAUAUCGACGGCGGUGUUUGGCACCUCGAUGUCGGCUCAUCACAUCCUGGGGCUGAAGUAGGUCCCAAGGGUAUGGCUGUUCGCCAUUUAAAGUGGUACGCGAGCUGGGUUUAGAACGUCGUGAGACAGUUCGGUCCCUAUCUGCCGUGGGCGCUGGAGAAUUGAGGGGGGCUGCUCCUAGUACGAGAGGACCGGAGUGGACGCAUCACUGGUGUUCGGGUUGUCAUGCCAAUGGCACUGCCCGGUAGCUAAAUGCGGAAAAGAUAAGUGCUGAAAGCAUCUAAGCACGAAACUUGCCCCGAGAUGAGUUCUCCCUGAGACUUUAAGUCUCCUGAAGGAACGUUGAAGACGACGACGUUGAUAGGUCGGGUGUGUAAGCGCAGCGAUGCGUUGAGCUAACCGAUACUAAUGAACCGUGAGGCUUAACCUUACAACGCCGAAGGUGUUU